rnacentral:rRNA from 1 species
AACGAACGCUGGCGGCAUGCCUAACACAUGCAAGUCGAACGAGACCUUCGGGUCUAGUGGCGCACGGGUGCGUAACGCGUGGGAACCUGCCCUUAGGUUCGGAAUAACUCCCCGAAUGGGGUGCUAAUACCGGAUCAUGUCUUCGGACCAAAGGUUUAUCGCCCUUGGAUGGGCCCGCGUUGGAUUAGCUAGUUGUGAGGGUAAAAGCCUACCAAGGCUACGAUCCAUAGCUGGGAUGAGAGGCAGGUUCGCCACACUGGGGCGGGGAAACGGCCCGGAAUACUACGGGAGGGAGGAGUGGGGGAUAUAGGAAUGUGGGCUGAAUGAUGAUGCACCUAGGACGGGAAAGCGCUGAAAGUCGUAGGGUUGUAAAGCUAUUUUACCCGGGAUGGUAAUGACGGUACCGGGAGAAUAAGCUCCGGCUAACUCCGUG